UUGGCCCUCUGUCUGCUUGGGAGGUCCAAGGCGUCUGUAGCAACUGCAAGCAUGUUCGGGCUAUGGUUCAGAGCAGGCAGGAAGGCUUUGCUCGGCGAGAGGAGUGCAGCCACACCGAGGCUCCUUUCCGAGUUCUCAUUUACAGAACUGAGCAGCUGCCUGUCUCCCAGGAAGGAUGAAAAGGUAACGAGGACGUGGUGUAGUGGCCGCUGGCUUCUUUCUUUGCUUCUGAGGGAGGGCAGCUUUCAGCACAGCCCUGCAGCUAUGGACCACAUUUAAUGCACUCUGAUUGUUGUCUUUUCAAGACAAGGGCUUCUCUGAGUAGCCCUGGCUGUCCUGGAACUCACUCUCUAGACUAGGCUGGCCUCAAACUCUUGAAUUUCUAAAUUUAAAGGAUCUCCCUACUCCAGCCUUUGAGUAGCUAAGAUCAUGAACAUGUUGCAUCAGCCCAGGUUCUUGACCUACAUUUACUUACUAUUUUUUUAAAAAAAAAUUUAUUUUGUAUGCAGUGUUCUGCCUGCAGGCCAGAAGAGGGCAUUAGAUCCCAUUACAGAUGUGUGUGAACCAACAUGUGGCUGCUGGGAAUUGAACUCAGGACCUCUGGAAGAGCAGCCAGUGCUCUUAACCUCUGAGCCAUCUCUCCAGCUCCUUACUUACUUAUUUUUUAAAAAAUGUAUUGUGUAUGUGUGUGUGCUUGUAUUUCUGUGUAUCACAAGCAUACA
rnacentral:lncRNA from 1 species